AGAGUUUGAUCCUGGCUCAGAGCGAACGCUGGCGGCAGGCUUAACACAUGCAAGUCGAGCGGGCGUAGCAAUACGUCAGCGGCAGACGGGUGAGUAACGCGUGGGAACAUACCUUUUGGUUCGGAACAACACAGGGAAACUUGUGCUAAUACCGGAUAAGCCCUUACGGGGAAAGAUUUAUCGCCGAAAGAUUGGCCCGCGUCUGAUUAGCUAGUUGGUGAGGUAACGGCUCACCAAGGCGACGAUCAGUAGCUGGUCUGAGAGGAUGAUCAGCCACAUUGGGACUGAGACACGGCCCAAACUCCUACGGGAGGCAGCAGUGGGGAAUAUUGGACAAUGGGCGCAAGCCUGAUCCAGCCAUGCCGCGUGAGUGAUGAAGGCCCUAGGGUUGUAAAGCUCUUUUGUGCGGGAAGAUAAUGACGGUACCGCAAGAAUAAGCCCCGGCUAACUUCGUGCCAGCAGCCGCGGUAAUACGAAGGGGGCUAGCGUUGCUCGGAAUCACUGGGCGUAAAGGGUGCGUAGGCGGGUCUUUAAGUCAGGGGUGAAAUCCUGGAGCUCAACUCCAGAACUGCCUUUGAUACUGAAGAUCUUGAGUUCGGGAGAGGUGAGUGGAACUGCGAGUGUAGAGGUGAAAUUCGUAGAUAUUCGCAAGAACACCAGUGGCGAAGGCGGCUCACUGGCCCGAUACUGACGUUGAGGCACGAAAGCGUGGGGAGCAAACAGGAUUAGAUACCCCAGUAGUCC
rnacentral:rRNA from 1 species